AUGUACCACGCGUACACGGUGGUUCCUCCGCGCCGUCCUGGCGACCGCUCGCUAAGUUUUGUUAGCC
rnacentral:sRNA from 1 species